rnacentral:ncRNA from 1 species
AGCGGCAUAUAUUAAGGGUUUAUUUAUAAUAUAAGACUCUGCUAAGUGGUAAUACGAUGCAUAAAGUUUGAUACAUGUCCGAUAUUGAAAGAUAAAAAAUAGAAGUGUUAUAAUCUUUGAAUGGAAGCCUCGAUAAACGGCAAUAGUAACCCUAACUGUCCUAAGGUAGCGAAAUUUCAUGUCGCAUAAUUAGUGAUCCACACGAAUGGUGCAAUGACUGCU